rnacentral:rRNA from 1 species
UACAGAGGGUGCGAGCGUUGUCCGGAAUCACUGGGCGUAAAGGGCGCGUAGGUGGUGGCUUAAGCGUGCGGUGAAAGCUCGGAGCUCAACUCCGAGUCGGCCGUGCGAACUGGGCUCACUGGAGCAUAGUAGAGGCAGGUGGAAUUCCGGGUGUAGCGGUGGAAUGCGUAGAGAUCGGGAAGAACAUCAGUGGCGAAGGCGGUCUGCUGGGCCGUUGCUGACGCUGAGGCGCGACAGCGUGGGGAGCAAACAGG